CUGGUUGAUCCUGCCAGUAGUCAUAUGCUUGUCUCAAAGAUUAAGCCAUGCAUGUCUAAGUAUAAGCACUCGUACUGUGAAACUGCGAAUGGCUCAUUAAAUCAGUUAUCGUUUAUUUGAUUGUACCUUUACUACUUGGAUAACCGUGGUAAUUCUAGAGCUAAUACAUGCGAAAAGUCCCGACUUCUGGAAGGGAUGUAUUUAUUAGAUUCAAAACCAAUGCGGGUUCUGCCCGGUCGUUUGGUGAUUCAUAGUAACUGUUCGAAUCGCAGGGCCUCGCGCCGGCGAUGUUUCAUUCAAAUUUCUGCCCUAUCAACUGUCGAUGGUAAGGUAUUGGCUUACCAUGGUUACAACGGGUGACGGAGAAUUAGGGUUCGAUUCCGGAGAGGGAGCCUGAGAAACGGCUACCACAUCCAAGGAAGGCAGCAGGCGCGCAAAUUACCCAAUCCUGACCCAGGGAGGUAGUGACAAGAAAUAACAAUACAGGGCUUUUCUAAGUCUUGUAAUUGGAAUGAGUACAACUUAAAUCCUUUAACGAGGNNNNNNNN
rnacentral:rRNA from 1 species